UACGUAGGGGGCGAGCGUUGUCCGGAGUUACUGGGCGUAAAGGGCAUGCAGGCGGUCGGACGCGUUUUUGUGUGACAGCGGGUGGCUCAACUACCCGAGCAUGCGAAAGACGGUCGGACUUGAGGACUCGAGAGGGACACGGAAUUCCUGGUGUAGCAGUGAAAUGCGUAGAUAUCAGGAGGAAUACCGAUGGCGAAGGCAGGUCUCUGGGCUAUAACUGACGCUCAUGCACGAAAGCGUGGGGAGCAAACAGG
rnacentral:rRNA from 1 species